rnacentral:rRNA from 1 species
UUAGGCGUAAACAUAAAAAAUUCAUAACAAAAUUAUUCGCCAGAGAACUACUAGCAACAGCUUAAAACUCAAAGGACUUGGCGGUGCUUCACAACCAU